rnacentral:rRNA from 1 species
CCUACGGGUGGCAGCAGUGAGGAAUAUUGGUCAAUGGACGAGAGUCUGAACCAGCCAAGUAGCGUGAAGGAUGACUGCCCUAUGGGUUGUAAACUUCUUUUAUAAAGGAAUAAAACGAGGCACGUGUGCCUUUUUGCAUGUACUUUAUGUAUCAGGAUCGGCUAACUCCGUGCCAGCAGCCGCGGUAAUACGGAGGAUCCGAGAGUUAUCCGGAUUGAUUGGGUUUAAAGGGAGCGUAGAUGGGUUGUUAAGUCAGUUGUGAAAGUUUGCGGCUCAACCGUAAAAUGGCAAUUGAUACUGGCAGUCUUGAGUGCAGAUGAGGUGGGCGGAAUUCGUGGUGUAGCGGUGAAAUGCUUAGAUAUCACGAAGAACCCCAAUUGCGAAGGCAGCUUACUAAACUGUGACUGACAUUGAGGCUCGAAAGUGUGGGUAGCAAACAGGAUUAGAUACCCCUGUAGUC